rnacentral:rRNA from 1 species
UACGUAGGCAGCAAGCGUUGUUCGGAAUUACUGGGCGUAAAGAGUGUGUAGGCGGUGCUCUAAGUUCGGUGUGAAAUCUCCCGGCUUAACUGGGAGGGUGCGCCGGAAACUGGAGUGCUUGAGCGCGGGAGAGGAAAGCGGAAUUCCUGGUGUAGCGGUGAAAUGCGUAGAUAUCAGGAGGAACACCUGUGGUGUAGACGGCUUUCUGGACCGUAGCUGACGCUGAGACACGAAAGCGUGGGUAGCAAACAGG